AGUACGGCGAGUGAACCGGGAAGAGCUCAAAUUUGAAAUCUGGCUGUCUUCGAUAGUCCGAGUUGUAAUCUAUAGAAGCGUUUUCCGUGCUGAACUGUGUCUAAGUCCCUUGGAACAGGGUAUCAAAGAGGGUGACAAUCCCGUACUUGACACAAUCAUCAGUGCUCUGUGAUACGCUCUCUACGAGUCGAGUUGUUUGGGAAUGCAGCUCAAAAUGGGUGGUAAAUUCCAUCUAAAGCUAAAUAUUGGCGAGAGACCGAUAGCGAACAAGUACCGUGAGGGAAAGAUGAAAAGCACUUUGGAAAGAGAGUUAAACAGUACGUGAAAUUGUUGAAAGGGAAACGAUUGAAGUCAGUCGUGUUCAUUGGAUUCAGCCGGUCUUCGGUGUACUUCCUUUGAACGGGUCAACAUCAGUUUUGCCCGGUGGAUAAAGGCAGUAGGAAUGUGGCCUCUCCGGAGGUGUUAUAGCCUAUUGUCACAUACACUGGGGGAGACUGAGGACUGCAGCUCGCCUUUUGGCCGGGGUUCGCCCACGUUCGAGCUUAGGAUGUUGACAUAAUGGCUUUAAACGACCCGUCUUGAAA
rnacentral:rRNA from 1 species